UCCGGUGGACAUUCUAGAAAGACCCCCACUCUAAAAAAUGACUACGAGUAACAUUUUCCUCUUCUUCCCUAGUAUAGUAUUGUCUCAAAGCCCUAAUCCAAGUUAUGGAAAUCUCCAAUUUCACUAAAUUCAAUCAAUACAUAUUUUCCUUCAACAGGGCUUUGAUUUGAAGGUGUACGAACUAAUUCAUGGCGUCGAAGCGCAUAUUGAAGGAGCUUAAGGAUCUGUUGAAGGAUCCUCGAAAGCUAAUUCGGAAAUGAAAGAAAUCACCCACAUUAUGCGGCACUGGUAUGUCGGCUCUACAUCCUAUUUUCCCUCCCACUUCCACAUCCUUUUGAUUUUCUGAAUUUGUCUUGAUUGUUAACUCGCCUUAAAUAAAAUAUGGUGUGGUCUUAUUUUUCACUAUAAAUACGACACCUCUUAUUAUACAAGGGAUAGACUUUGAAGUUCGAUAAUUUUUCAUACUCAUUGCUUAAGAAAUGCUACUGGCCAAGACUCCUUAUUGUGAAACUGCUUCUAUUUUACUGAUCAUUAGUGCUCUGCUGAAGUAAUUUAAAUUUAAACGUGAUAAUUCUUGCUGGGGUAGAAAGGAUUCAGGUAUGUUUCUAGACCUUAUGUGUGCCUAGUUUUUGGUUUAAUGGGUGCAAUAUGGGAGAACUGAUCUCUAUUAUGCUGAUAUGGAUACUAAUAUCGUUUAUGUUUUAUGGGGAAAUAGCCUCUCUACCUUUGAGGUAGGAGUAAGGUUUGCAUAAACUUAUUUUACCCGCUGCCGAGCUCUAUCCUGGCCGAAUUCCUUAAUAGCCGAAUGCAUAUUGAAUUACUUGUCGAGCUUCAAUACAUUCCUCUCUUAUAAUAUUCUGCUUUGCUAGAAGAUGGAUGUGCAACUGCAACAUAACAGUUAGAAGCUUGAUACUUCUUAGUGUGCACUUAUGUGAGGCAAAAUUUUAUCAAUUAAAGGUGCAGUGGUCGACGUCCGGCAAUGGUGUUACCAACUUAAUAAAUGGAUAGAUACGAAAAAGUUUAUAAUAUGGUGUAAGACUUUCCAGUUUCUGUUAAUUAUCUCAUGUUAAGUUUUCUUAUCAUAAAUUUAGAUAAAUUAUUGAGCCUUUAAGUAUGUAUUUUGUUUUUACAUAGCUAAGAUAAGGCAACAUCUUGUACCAAAAGUAAAAGCACCACAAGAUUUGGCAAUGUCAUUACUUACCCGUCCCCUAAGAAUAACAUAGUUUAUUUACCACAAUACUACGCCUUAGUACCAAAUGAUUAGUGUUGACAAUGAAAUAGUUUGUUCAAAAUGAUCAAACAGUUUAGCUUCAAGAUGAACUCCAAAGUCCAUGUACUCUACAUGUGGAGAAAACUGAUGUAUUAACAUUUCCUCUAAGAAUUUAUUACAAUUCUCAUUAUCCCAAGAAAUAUUAAUAUGAUUGGAAAUUUCUUUUGUGUUGUGUAUUAACAAACUUCUAAUGAAACCUAUCUACAAUAUGUGCAUGAACUCUUUUGGACAAAUAUGUGGUUCGUGAUGUGAUUCUCUACGGAAAACAACAUCUCUGCCUUUCAAUGAAGGGGUAAGGAUUGCAUAAACAUUACCUUGUCCAGACCCCAGUUGUGGGAUUACACUGGGUAUGUUGUUUGUUGUUGAAUUGAGUUUUCUUUCCGUAAAUCAUCGCACCGAUGGUCUCUGAUUCAAGUUCAGGAUAACCCAACUACACAAAGAAACCGUCCAUAAAGUACUUUUUGGGAGAGAUUCAUCCUUCUUGAACGCAAUAUUAGACUCUCCACCAAGUGUGCUUGUUCUCCCUCCCCCUCCUCUUGUUUCUUAUCUUGACAAGUCUUUAUGAAAUAACUCUGAUGAAAAGAAAAAAGAAAGUGUUAAAGAGAAAUUCGUAUUUCUCACCUACUCAGACUAGUUGUUAGACUAACCAUUUCACUUUUUUUUUUUGGUUAAACUACCUAUUGGUAGUUCUGUACACGUGUUUUAGCAAAUUAAAAAUUGCUCUCUGUACACGUCUAGUUGAAAAAUUCUCAUUCUUAUUUAGAAUGAAAGGAUUUUUCAUGAAGAUGCAUUAGUAUUUGAAUCUUGUAAAUUUCUCGUUGAUUUAUUGUUAUCAUUAUAACUUGUUUCAAAAGUAUCAAAUUUACUAAACUAAUCAUAAGAAUAGGAAUGAAAGGGCCGAUUUUAGGCUAUGCAGGGCAGCAUGGAUUUUUGCUAUGCAGGUAUGGGACGGAUUGAAAUAGUGUAUUCCAAAAUUGAUGUGAGGCGGGGUGGGUUGCGGACGUGCCUUAUUUCACUUCUACAAAUUCUGUAACUGCUUAAGUUUAAGAUCUCUAACACAUAAUCGUUCGACAAUUUGGAUAUCUACAAGGUUUUUAAUAAUGGACAAAGACAACAUAAGAGAAUAAAAAUAGGAACACAAUGUGAAUUUAAUAAAAACUACUAUCAUUCCCCUACCACCACCUACUUUUUUCUGUUUGGUCUUUCUGUAGAAUCAGUCCCAUUUACUGAGAUCCCCAUUCUACUAGCAUCAGUAGUUGUAGCUUCUAUUACCAUGGGAUUGUUCGUUAGAACAUUUGAGUUAAGGAUACUAAGAUUGCCAAGUUUGGCUAGAUAAUUACAGGAAAAAAGAUUAACCCUUCUAGUAGUAGAUAUUCCUAAUUUGUCUUGCUCCAUAAUUUCUCCAGUCCAAGGGGGAGCAGCCUCCAAAAAGUUUCCUACAGUUGUAGUGGCUCUCGUAGGUCCUUCAGAUGCUAACAGGUGAGCCACUUUGUUUCCUUCUCUAAAGUUGUGGGCUUUCCCAAUUUCCUGGCAUAGUUGUUAUGGACGUUGUGAUUUCGAUUGAGCCAGAUAUGCCACAAAACAAAGGGAAAGGUGUAAUUGUAGUUUCUAAUCUAAUUGAGCCAGUUUGGGGCAUCUUCAGGGAACUGGAUAUGAAGGUCGCUCCAUAAAUGACUAGCAAUAUAGCACCUAAGAUUAUGAGGUGCAACAGAAGUGCGAAUUAGAUAGUGAAUUUCCACCGGAAAGUCGAAGGAGCAGUUGUCUAAAUGCCAAGAGUCAUUAUAGUAAAAGUGACUAUCAUCUUUAGUCAUGGGGCCUUGAAUGAGAGCGGAGAUUUUUAUUUGGGAAAUAUCCAGUUAGAGUCCCUUUAGUUUUCAUAGUCAAUAAUUUUUCCACUUCAAGUUUCACGUCUUAUUUUUUUUUAAUCAGACAAUCUAAAUUUUAUUAAUUUCAUUUUUAGUAUUCAAUUAAGUUAAAAAGAAAAAGACCUUUAAAAAAUGUUAUGCACACAGAUUUGUGUAGAGCGGGUCUAUGUGGGAUAGAGACUGAUAGAAGGAAAAAAUGAGAAAGGGGAAAGUAGAGAGCUCUUAGAGAGGAGGAUAAUUAAAGAUUUUUAAUUCACAAUAAUAAGGGAAAUAAUAAAAGAUAGUACACACUUGUCAAGACAAGACUAAAUUGAAAUAUAUUAGAAACUUAUCUAUUACAAAUCUAUUAAGACCAAAGUGUAAAACAUAAAAUAUAGGAUUUCACUGUCUUAACUUGCAAUCUCUAGCAUAAGGCUAGUCUAUGUAUUAAAAUCCUUGUAACUCAAAGUACAAAUGAAAUGUAAAACGUAAAAACUUUCUUUGCUCCAACGUACAGUUAGCUAUAUAUCAUUGAAUAAGCAACAGGUACAACAUCUGCAAGCGUAUUCGUUAUAGAAUUUUAUUGAGUGCAAUUUCUGACACAAGGGUAAGGGUCUGUAUAUUGAAUUCCUUCUCUCUCAAAGUACCAAUCCGCAACAGCUUCCGCAAUUGUCUAUACACACAAAAUGUUGCAACAAAUUAAAAUUUGUUAUGACUCAUCAAAACUAACUAUGAUAAAAUUG